rnacentral:lncRNA from 1 species
CAAGUGUUCCAUUUCUGUCAGUUCACGGCAGAUCCAUGAAGGUGUGUUUACCUUGCUUAAGUUAACAAGAAUUUUUUUUGCAAUUCCUUCUAGUGUAUGGCUGUGCAGAGCUAGCACACUAAACAUGCAAUAUAAGAAAGAGGAGACACAUAUUAAUUUGAUUAUCUUUCAGAAAUUUGCUGUUAGUGCCUCACAUGUUAGUGAAGCUGGUGAACUUUAUUAAAGAAAAUUUGAAUCUUGAUUAAUGUGUGUUUUACAUUACUAUCCAGUUUGUUCAAGUGGGUUGUGUGAUAUAUUUAGGUGGAAAACUUUGGAUUUUCAUCUCUCAAAAGGAGGUUUGUGUGAUUCUUCAAUGUGGAAAAGUCAGAUAUUGUUGUCUUGUGGUGAGCUGAAGAACGUAAAAGAGUUGCAUUCAAUUCCCACAGAGUUUCCACUAGAUUUGGGUGUCAAGUUGUGCUACGCUUAGGAAAACUGAGCAUAUAUAUGUCUUUUAACUUGGCCCCAAGCCCUCAAUUGUUAUUUAUGUCGUCCAACUUUGUGUGUGCACAAGUAGGUACGUAAACUUGUAUAAAGUUGAACAUGUAGACACAUGCGUCCUACGUGACAAUCUGCAUCUUACAUGUAUUAUGUUGCAUAGGAUGUGUGUCUAUUUGUUCAACUUUAUACAAGUUUACAUACCUACUUGUACACACACAAAGUCGGAGGUAUGAAUGUCAACUAACGUCAGGUUUAUGUAUUAUACAUUUAAUAUUUGGUUCUAUGAUCAAAUUUCUAACUUUUAAGACGUAAAUCUUUAGUUUGUAUUGGGUACUCUUACUACUACUCUGGAAACAAGCAACUUUUAUCUUGUGUUUGGAAUAAAACACUUGAAACGUGUAUAUAUUAUAGGUUCCUAUGGUCCAAAUCAGAUUUGUGUCACACCAGUAAUAGUUUUACCUUAAUAGAUCAUUACAAGUACUAUGAAUC